UGAAGCUGCUGCAUUGUAACCCCCAUUCUCGACCAACCAUUAGAGAGGAAGAGAAAGAGUUCUUCUCUCUUCUCGGUUUUCGUCCAUUUCUGCACACCCAUUUUCUUUGCAUCAUAUCUCCUUUGUUUCUUAUCCGAAUUGAGCGUGUGAGUAGUCAAAAUCUAUCUACUCGGAAAGAUCUUGCUCGUGGUAUAAUUUUUUUUUGAAGAAAGAGGAAGACGCGACUGCAGUUUUCGUUGCAAUCAGACGAGUCAUCCGGUUUUUUGUUCCCUGUCACACCUUCACUAAAAUAACUGUAUCCAGAGAUCUAACCGUUGGAUCAUCUUAAAAUUUGUACAGAAAUUUUAUGACAUCUUGUUCUUUAUUUUGACCGGAGAGAUUUGGAAUCCGAGAUUUCGAUCACCGGUAAUCAUGGUCAGAACAGAGCAGUACGAAAAAAAUGAUUGUUCAACAUUUGAGAAGAAAAUGCCUACUGACUUGUUGCUACAAUUAUUGUUCAUGGAGGAGUUGGAUUGCUUGCAUAUUUCUCGAAUCUCGUUAUACUCAGCUCUCCUCCCGAUGAUCCAGGUUAUGUUGAUGGGAAUCUUCUUUGGUUUUGGGCUCGGGUUGAGUUGUGAGCAUUAAAAAGCUAGGUGUUUCAGGCCUAGACUUUUUAUUAGUUUGAUAGUCAGCUUAUCUCUUUUAGAUAUUACUCUAAUUAAUUUAACUUAUUUAUACUAUUUACUUAUGUUGGUUUAUCACUUAGUUAUGACAUCGCAUUUCUUGUAGUAGUGACAUUCCCAGAAGACGAUGUUUCCGCCAUCAUCCUAUUAAUACUAUUAUUAUUUCUUUCGUUUCCGCUUUGAAAUUUUGGGGUGUUACAGACUGGAUCCGACUUUUUUCCCGCCUUUUUUUAACGGAAAAAUCUUCUUUAAUGCAAAUAAUCUGAUCAUUUUUUAAUAAUUAUAUGGAAAUCUUAUAUAUUACAUAUAAUCUAAACAUUACUAUUAUUUUAACAAUCAUUUCUUCAAUGAAAAAUGCAAUUGUCUCAAAGUUUAAGGCAUAUUAUACAUGCAUAAUAAAUUAAUAUAAAUAAAAAAGGGAGAAAUUGACUUAAAGUCGGAGUCAAAUUCAAAUGUCGGACUUUUUUAUGAGAUUCGACUCCAACCCUCUACGACUCGGAGUCGGAAUUUUUAAACGAAUUACAUUCAGAUUUUUUUUUUUUAGGAAUCCACUCGAAUUUUUUCUUUUCGUAUUAGAGCAGACUAGGUUCGCGUCGGAAAUGGAUUGCCAUACCUAAAUAGGCUAAAUUGUCACUUGUCAGUGUCAUACUGCCAUCACUUGGCGCGCCAAAAUGCAUGCGCGUUUCGAAACUGAUAGUUUGGCAAACCCUAAAAUUGCUCUUAUUUUCGUAAAUCAUGCUUAAGAGGAAACCAUCUUCUCCGAACCACGAUCAGGUUGUCUGAAUUCGAUCGUUAUAGAUUGUGAAAGCUAAGGAGCAGUUAUAUUAGAUGGAAAGGCGGAAAUUUAUGUGUACAUGCUGAAGCAGCACAAGACAUUGGGACAGCAUCUCGGAAUAUUAAAUCAGUUGGAGAUGAUGGUAGUGAUAUAUUGUGGAGGAAGUUCAACAUCAAUGACUGUGGCGCAACAAGGUGAAGUUACUUGUCAUGCUUCUAUGGAAGAUGCAAAUGUAGUGGUCCAAAUAAGUGGGUAUUCUAUUAGCAUUGAUUUGGAUAACAAAACAAGUCGGUCAAUUAGUGCAGGUACGGACAAUGUCAGUUCAGCAAACGAACAAGGUUGUAUUGCAGCAAUAGAGGCACCUAGAGUUGGGAUGGUGUUUGGAAGUUGGGAGGAAAUCAAGAUAUAUUAUCGAUAAUAUGGGAAGCAGCAAGAAUUAGGUGUGAUAAGGCCUUCUUGUCAGUGGAAGGAGAAGAACGAAGACCAAAGGAGCAUAAGAUGGAAGUGUGAAUGCGCAGGGAAACCAGACAUGAGGCGAGGGCAACAGAGGAAGGGAAUUUCUGUGAGCAGAAAUAGGGAUGAUGUGUCUGAAGAAGAAUAACCAUUAAUCUACGGGUUGGCGAGCUUUGCAGGACAAAGAGAUGUGAGUGCAGUGCAAUGGUUUAUGCAAAGGCCCUGCCAGAUGGAAGUUGACUUUUGAGCAAAGUGGUUCUGGAGCACACAAAUCACAAUCUCGAGCCUAACAUAUGUAGGGACAUAAAGCAGAAUAACGAAGUAUUGCCAGGUCAGAAAAGGAGAAAGUUUUCCCCAAAAGAAGCAGGUUUGAUGGUACCCCAAAAUGCACAACUACGUGGCAAAUAAAAAAGAUAGCUUUAAUCAUAUGACAGCUAGAAAGAUAGACAUGCAUUAUGCUACAAUGGGGGAAAGAUGAUUGAAGUUAAUGGAUGGAGAUGCAAAUGCAAUCGUGAGACAUUUCACGAGAUGCACCACUGUAAUCAGAACUUUUUCCAUCUGAUUAGGCAUGAAGAAAAUGGUGUUUGGAAGAUGUGUUGUGGGUUGAUGCAAGUAGGGCAGCAUACGAAGAGUUUUGUGAUGUGGACCAUGUGGUAUGUUUUGAUAAAACUUGUCUGACGAGUGAGUAUGACUUGCCAUUGGUGAAGUUUGUUGAGAUUAACAAUCAUGGGAAAAGUGAAAACAAUCUUGUUUGGCUGUGCAUUGGUGUCGUACGAGGAAAUGGAGAUGUUUGAAUGGGUGUUUAGAACAUGGUUGCUGUGCAUGGGUGAUAGAUCACCACAGGUCAUUCUAACUGAUCGAGCUUCUUCCUUGAGGAAGGCUUUGGCGACAAGGAUGCCACUUGCCAGAGACGAAGCAUAUAUGGUCUUUAUGGUACAUUGUGCAGAAUUUCACCAAGAACUUAAGAUCACUUCCAAGGUACCAAAAGUUUAACAAGGAAUUGAAGAAUGCAAUUUGUAGCUUCAAUACAGCUGAUGAGUUUGAGAGACGUUGGAUAGGUGUGAUUGAAGAAUGUCAACUUCAGGAAAAUGAAUGACUAUGAUGCUUGUUUGAGGAGAUAUAGUUCCCUGCUAACAUAGAACACUUGAUCUUGGCCGGAAUUAGGUCAACAAUGAGGGUGGAGAGAAUGUAAAUAUUUUUGAUGGAUUUGUUAAAAAGACACCAAGUUGAGUGAGUUUAUUGAGGGGGUAUUGCUUUGGCAUGGAGAAGAGGGUUGGAUAUAGAAGAGCAAGAGACUGCAAAUGCAGACAGUGAAUGUUAUGUAAGAGGUUUGGCCACAAGCUUUGAAGUUGAGACUUGAGCGUGUAUUCCAGAAGUUAUACACGGAUGUCAAAUUCAGGGAGUUGCAAUUUGAGUAUCGGGGUCUGCUUUAUUGCAUCAGUCGUGGAAAGAUGACUGUUUCAGACACAGAGGCAGAGCAUAUACUAGAGGACAGAGUAUGGGUUGAGGUGCCGAGGAGUGUAAGCAUUCUUGCUGAUGAGAGAAGAAAUUAUCGAGUGAGGUUUAACACUAUGACAAAUGAGGUUUCAUGUGAAUGCAAGCUGUUUGAACACUGAGAAAUUUCGUGUAGGCAUAGUAUACGCGUCUAUGAUUUGCACUAUGUGUCCCCGGUCCCAGACAACUUCAUUCUUAGACAUUGGCGGAGAGACAUACCUAGGAAGCACACAAGGACAAAGGUCGCGUACCAUGAUCCUUUAAUCAUAGGAGAAAGUGUAAAGGUACCUGAGAGUGGGAACUAUCCCAUUUUCUACUGCAUCUUGUUUGAUUACCAUGAAUCAUUAUAAUCAAUUUUUUUAUUCCAGAUGAAGCUGUUCGGCGAAGAAGAGGAGCAAAAAGUAUAUUGCUGUCUCUUCUGUAAUUUUGUGCUUCUUACUUCUUAACACCUGCUUCUUAUGCAAAUUGGCCCAUCAUUUACUGCAAGUGGACACCUGUUAUCUGGACUUCGAUUCAGCCGAAUGUAGUACACGAGAGCUAUCAAUAUGGCUCCUAAGAAAUUAUUUUCUUCCGACUGUAGAAGUGUCAGACUGUAAGAUUAUUUUCUUCUGACUGUAGAAGUGUCUGACUGUACACAAGAGCUAUCAAAUCCAGUCCCUGGUUUUUAUGUCUAAAAUUGGUUCAAUUCAGAACUUCACUCUCAAUUUUCCAUUCUUGGUAAAAUUAUAGGAUGCCAACAGAUGUUACAUUUGUUUUGUCGUCUCAAAGAAUUCCUGUUUUUCUAGAAUCUAGAUUACCAAAGAGUAAUAGAAAUCUAAUUUCCAUAUUGUGCUUUUCUUUAGUAUUUUGGUUAUUGUGUGUAUUAUGCUGUAAAGCAGUUAAAGAGUUUAGCUGGUGAGCUCAAUAAGUUUCUCUAAACUAAACAUACCCUUUAAGUCAGUAGGAUUUUUCUUGAAGAUCCUUUUUAGUUAUCUCGCUGCUAGGCAAUGAUGGAGUGAUGAUGUCAUUCUAAAGCUUCUGUUGAGAAGAUGAUGAAUAAACAUCGUGAACUACAUUUGGGAUCGUAUAUAUAUUUGUUCUAUUAUUAUUUCUUUGGCUCAUGCUUCUAGUAAAGCAACUUUUCGUUGAAUUUCUUUCUUGAUGACUAUUGUCUUUCAACUAAUUCAUGGUUUAUACUUUGUUUACGUUCAAUGGUAAAGUUCUCUGCUCAAACCUAAGUAACGUAGUUUAUACCCGGUUAUGGUAAUAGUGUUGAGUGCAUGACAGCAUGGAUGUUUCAACUUCCUACGGUUUUUCUCCAUUGUCAUUAUUUUUUCAGUUUGACACCCUUUGUUUCUUAGUGUUUUCGAAUGUAUAUUGGGGCAUGGGAAAAAUGAAUAGUUUGGAGGGCUUCCUAAUCUAGCACUUGUAAUAUGAAAAUAUUUGCAUAUCGGAGUGGCAUAUUUUUGUAGUUUGGGCCUUUGAGGAAAUAUAGAAGGGUAUUUGCACAGCUUAUCAUUAAUUUGACCCCUAGUUCCAAAAUGCCAUUAUGAUAUGGACUAUUUGUUUGUCACGAUAAUAAAUUAGGAGUUCCUCUAAGAUCUGAGAUUUUCAUAAGCAUAUGUUGGAGAAUGAAUUAUUUGCUUUUUUACUACUUCCAUAUGAAGGAAGUAUGAAACAAAAAGGAAUAGAGGGAUUACAUUUUUACAACUUACAAGACAUCAAAAUUCAGGCCAUUGAGAUUUUGCCAUAGAUCUUUGUUCUCUGCUGUUUUGUUGGGAAGUUUUUAUUUUUUUGGAGGGUCCUAGCACAUUAAGGUUGAAAAUUCCUUUAUAAAUUAUUGGACAAUAGACUAACAUGUUGGAGUUUCGGAAAAUCUAUGUAGCACAGAAAAUCUCGUAAAGGUUGCUUUUCCUUAUUUCCGAAACUACGAAACCCGAAGAAACUCAUGGGGAAACUUUUUCUUUGAAAGACAAAGUUUUUUCCUUUCAACAAUCUUUAGAGUUAUGAAUUUUUCUUUCUAAAAUCUCUUCAAAAAUAACCCUAUUGACAUUAAUAUCCUCUUUGUUACAUACUUCUUGUUAUUAAUAAACAAAACAGUAUUAGAAAUUCAAGUAAAAUAAUUCAUCUAUUACUUUAGCUUUUGCAUUUGUCAUGUUUCCUAGUUUUACGAAUAUUGCGUGUUUCUAUGGCUUGCUGUAAUCAAAAGAUGAAUUUUUGGAGGAGAAUUGCCACAUCAGUACAACUUUCAAGAUGGCGGGAGUAAUAUGAACAUCAACAUUGACUAUGUAGCAAAUCUGAUCAAGUUGGUGCUGAACCUGGACCUUGGACAUGUCAUGCUGCCAUCAAUGUCUACCUUCCCAUGUGUCAAUCAUUGUUGAGAAUGAGAUUGAAUUGGUUUGAAGCUCUUGCUUAUUGCUGCCAUGUAUCUUUAAUUCUGUUCAAAGAUCUACCCUGCAGAAAAUGAGGGGUUGCCAUCAGAGCUUGCUUUUAGAUGGACAACAAAUGUUUAUAACUGAUGAUAUGUUAUUAUCGCGCAGCGUUGGUCCAACAAUUGGCUUCUGCUAUGGCAUGUUCUAAAGAGAGACAUGACUGGUUUAAAGUGAAGAUAAUGCAGGAUGAAAGUUUCUCUCUUGAGAGGGAUAAGAUAAAGGAGACUCCUUAAAUGAGUCUCAUAAAAUUUGAUCCCAAGAUUUUAUGGAUACAACAUACAAAGUGGGAAGAUAAGUCACUCACCAUCUUAACCUCAUAAUCUGUUCUCUUGGAGCCAGAAUGAUCUCACAUUGUUGUGCUAUACAUUUUGUCUUCCGAGAGAUUGCUAUUAUGAUAAGUAAUUACACAGAAAAUAUCCUUUAUAAUAAAAUAAAUGCAAGAUUACCUUAUUUUAUGUCAUAAAAGGGUUGCUUUUAUAUUUGUAAAGAGGUAAUCUUAUAUUUGAAAAGGAUCACUUAUAAUUAUAAUAAAGUGAUCUUUUAUGAGUAAAAAAUUACCUCCAUCUUAUCAUAGGUUAUUGUAAUAUUUAAUAAUAUAUAUGUUCGUCUAGUUUUAACAUUUGGCACUUCUUUUACCUGCUAAAUUAUAUUGUUAUCAUAAUUUUAUAUGCAAUCAUGGUAA